ACGUAGGGGGCAAGCGUUGUCCGGAAUUAUUGGGCGUAAAGCGCGCGCAGGCGGCUGUUUAAGUCUGGUGUUUAAGCCCGGGGCUCAACCCCGGUUCGCACUGGAAACUGGGCAGCUUGAGUGCAGGAGAGGAAAGUGGAAUUCCACGUGUAGCGGUGAAAUGCGUAGAGAUGUGGAGGAACACCAGUGGCGAAGGCGACUUUCUGGCCUGUAACUGACGCUGAGGCGCGAAAGCGUGGGGAGCAAACAGGA
rnacentral:rRNA from 1 species